CAAAAAGGUCAGUGAUUCUCAAGCAAACAGCUCCCUCCACUGGCUCAACCAUCAUCAUAUGCUCUGAAGUCUCAAGUCCCUUGAGUUCCCCUCCUACCAAGUUUGCAUAUAGACCACAGACAGAAUGCUAGGGCUGCUUGAGAAUUUAGAAACACUGAAUUAAAAAAGGUUCUACAGCCAGCAUGGAGCUGAAUGCAGUGCUUGAACUCACAACCUUGAGAUAAAUACCUGUGCUGAAAUCAAGAGUUGGACACUCAACAAACUUAGUGUAUUGUAUUGCAUUCUGCCUCCAACUUCACUGCCUACAUUUUCUUUGACUGGCCUUCUUUGAUCACUUCCUAUGGCAGAUUUUUAGUUAUCACCCCCACUUCUCCAUUUAAGUGGGAAUGUUCUUUGCAGCUGAAAUGUACACACCAGUAACACACAUUUUGCCAGAGUUGGAAAAAAAAAUAAGAAGGUUAAAUCUUACUCUUGUAAGUCCUUCAAAGAAAGGAAAGUUGUGGUGACAAUGUUGACCUUUGCCUGAGACCUAUGCUUGGAAACCAGAAAAGGUUAAGACACCCUCCCAAUCAUCUGUGUUCAGAGAAACUGAAAAAGACUACCCUUCCCAUGCAUAUGGGAUCUUCAUAAGGCAAAUGAAACCUGAAACUGUCCUGACAGGACCUCCAGCCAUCCCAGACCACCCAGACCAGUUUGAGCUUAACCCCCGACUGGCACCCGCACAGACCAUGGAGUGACAUCUGGAAUGACUAACAAUUCCCUCUUCCUCAUUAUAAUAAUAAAAUCUCUACCCAAGGA